UGGGGAAUAUUGCACAAUGGGGGAAACCCUGAUGCAGCGACGCCGCGUGAAGGAUGAAGUAUUUCGGUAUGUAAACUUCUAUCAGCAGGGAAGAAAGUGACGGUACCUGACUAAGAAGCCCCGGCUAACUACGUGCCAGCAGCCGCGGUAAUACGUAGGGGGCAAGCGUUAUCCGGAUUUACUGGGUGUAAAGGGAGCGUAGACGGAACGGCAAGUCUGAAGUGAAAGCCCGGGGCUCAACCCCGGGACUGCUUUGGAAACUGUUGAUCUGGAGUGCUGGAGAGGCAAGUGGAAUUCCUAGUGUAGCGGUGAAAUGCGUAGAUAUUAGGAGGAACACCAGUGGCGAAGGCGGCUUGCUGGACAGUAACUGACGUUGAGGCUCGAAAGCGUGGGGAGCAAACAGG
rnacentral:rRNA from 1 species